GACGAACCGUGCGACCGUUGUUCGGAAUCACUGGGCUUAAAGGGCGCGUAGGCGGGUCAGCAAGUCAGGGGUGAAAUCGUCCGGCUUAACCGGACAACGGCCUUUGAUACUGCUGGUCUUGAGGGAGGUAGGGGUCUGUGGAACUUCCGGUGGAGCGGUGAAAUGCGUUGAUAUCGGAAGGAACGCCGGUGGCGAAAGCGACGGACUGGACCUCUUCUGACGCUGAGGCGCGAAAGCCAGGGGAGCAAACGGG
rnacentral:rRNA from 1 species